AUUGAACGCUGGCGGCAUGCUUUACACAUGCAAGUCGAACGGUAACAGGCCUUCGGGCGCUGACGAGUGGCGAACGGGUGAGUAAUGCAUCGGAACGUGCCCAGUCGUGGGGGAUAACGCAGCGAAAGCUGUGCUAAUACCGCAUACGAUCUAUGGAUGAAAGCGGGGGACCGUAAGGCCUCGCGCGAUUGGAGCGGCCGAUGUCAGAUUAGGUAGUUGGUGGGGUAAAGGCUCACCAAGGCAACGAUCUGUAGCUGGUCUGAGAGGACGACCAGCAGCGCUGGACCUGAGACACGGUCCAGACGCCUACGGGAGGCAGCAGUGGGGAAUUUUGGACAAUGGGCGCAAGCCUGAUCCAGCAAUGCCGCGUGCAGGAAGAAGGCCUUCGGGUUGUAAACUGCUUUUGUACGGAACGAAACGGCGAGCUCUAAUACAGUUUGCUAAUGACGGUACCGUAAGAAUAAGCACCGGCUAACUACGUGCCAGCCGCCGCCGUAAUAC
rnacentral:rRNA from 1 species